UCCGGCUUAACGCCGGCGGUUUCUUUAGAGUGCCCAACUAAAUGAUGGCAACUAAAGACGAGGGUUGCGCUCGUUGCGGGACUUAACCCAACAUCUCACGACACGAGCUGACGACAGCCAUGCAGCACCUGUCACCGGUCCAGCCGAACUGAAGGACUCCGUUUCUGGAGUCCGCGACCGGGAUGUCAAGGCCUGGUAAGGUUCUUCGCGUUGCCUCGAAUUAAACCACAUGCUCCACCGCUUGUGCGGGUCCCCGUCAAUUCCUUUGAGUUUUAAUCUUGCGACCGUACUCCCCAGGCGGGGUGCUUAACGCGUUAGCUACGCCACUGAAGCCUAAUGGCCCCAACGGCUAGCACCCAUCGUUUACGGCGUGGACUAC
rnacentral:misc_RNA from 1 species